UACGUAGGGUGCAAGCGUUAAUCGGAAUACUGGGCGUAAAGCGUGCGCAGGCGGUGAUGUAAGACAGGUGUGAAAUCCCCGGGCUUAACCUGGGAACUGCAUUUGUGACUGCAUCGCUGGAGUGCGGCAGAGGGGGAUGGAAUUCCGCGUGUAGCAGUGAAAUGCGUAGAUAUGCGGAGGAACACCGAUGGCGAAGGCAAUCCCCUGGGCCUGCACUGACGCUCAUGCACGAAAGCGUGG
rnacentral:rRNA from 1 species